UUGAACGCUGGCGGCAGGCCUAACACAUGCAAGUCGAGCGGUAGCACAGAGAGCUUGCUCUCGGGUGACGAGCGGCGGACGGGUGAGUAAUGUCUGGGAAACUGCCUGAUGGAGGGGGAUAACUACUGGAAACGGUAGCUAAUACCGCAUAACGUCGCAAGACCAAAGUGGGGGACCUUCGGGCCUCAUGCCAUCAGAUGUGCCCAGAUGGGAUUAGCUAGUAGGUGGGGUAACGGCUCACCUAGGCGACGAUCCCUAGCUGGUCUGAGAGGAUGACCAGCCACACUGGAACUGAGACACGGUCCAGACUCCUACGGGAGGCAGCAGUGGGGAAUAUUGCACAAUGGGCGCAAGCCUGAUGCAGCCAUGCCGCGUGUGUGAAGAAGGCCUUCGGGUUGUAAAGCACUUUCAGCGGGGAGGAAGGCGGUGAGGUUAAUAACCUCAUCGAUUGACAUUACCCGCAGAAGAAGCACCGGCUAACUCCGUGCCAGCAGCCGCGGUAAUACGGAGGGUGCAAGCGUUAAUCGGAAUUACUGGGCGUAAAGCGCACGCAGGCGGUCUGUCAAGUCGGAUGUGAAAUCCCCGGGCUCAACCUGGGAACUGCAUUCGAAACUGGCAGGCUAGAGUCUUGUAGAGGGGGGUAGAAUUCCAGGUGUAGCGGUGAAAUGCGUAGAGAUCUGGAGGAAUACCGGUGGCGAAGGCGGCCCCCUGGACAAAGACUGACGCUCAGGUGCGAAAGCGUGGGGAGCAAACAGGAUUAGAUACCCUGGUAGUCCACGCCGUAAACGAUGUCGAUUUGGAGGUUGUGCCCUUGAGGCGUGGCUUCCGGAGCUAACGCGUUAAAUCGACCGCCUGGGGAGUACGGCCGCAAGGUUAAAACUCAAAUGAAUUGACGGGGGCCCGCACAAGCGGUGGAGCAUGUGGUUUAAUUCGAUGCAACGCGAAGAACCUUACCUGGUCUUGACAUCCACAGAACUUUCCAGAGAUGGAUUGGUGCCUUCGGGAACUGUGAGACAGGUGCUGCAUGGCUGUCGUCAGCUCGUGUUGUGAAAUGUUGGGUUAAGUCCCGCAACGAGCGCAACCCUUAUCCUUUGUUGCCAGCGGUUAGGCCGGGAACUCAAAGGAGACUGCCAGUGAUAAACUGGAGGAAGGUGGGGAUGACGUCAAGUCAUCAUGGCCCUUACGACCAGGGCUACACACGUGCUACAAUGGCAUAUACAAAGAGAAGCGACCUCGCGAGAGCAAGCGGACCUCAUAAAGUAUGUCGUAGUCCGGAUUGGAGUCUGCAACUCGACUCCAUGAAGUCGGAAUCGCUAGUAAUCGUAGAUCAGAAUGCUACGGUGAAUACGUUCCCGGGCCUUGUACACACCGCCCGUCACACCAUGGGAGUGGGUUGCAAAAGAAGUAGGUAGCUUAACCUUCGGGAGGGCGCUUACCACUUUGUGAUUCAUGACUGGGGUG
rnacentral:rRNA from 1 species